ensembl:snRNA U6 U6 spliceosomal RNA
GUGCUCGCUUCGGCAGCACAUAUACUAAAAUUGGAAUGAUACAGAGAAGAUUAGUGUGGCCCCUGCGCAAAGAUGACACACAAAUUUGUGAAGCGUUCCAUAUUUUU